CUACAUGUUCCAGCAAGUUGAGUUAGAGUGUUACAAGUCUUUCGGUAGCUGAAGCUUAAAGUUCGAAUGAGCUAGAGGUUGCACUCAACAAGUCCAGUUAUGGCCGAGUUCGCUGGCGUCUCCGUUUACUCAAUAAGCCAUAAGAAAGGCCGCAGUAGAGGUACCUCCAUUUCGUUAAACUUUUAGUAGGAACUGUUAGAAACAUAAAGGCUUAGUUGACUUGAUAAGUAAAUUGGUUGUAGUCUGAAAAAUUUUGCUAAGUAACUAGAGAGCCAAUGUUACAGUGGAAAGAUGUAUAAUCCUCCAAAUAAAAAAAUAAGACAACUGCCCUUUCCAAAAUAUACGCAGAUUGUCCCCUAAGUAGUUUGAGAUAUCGCCUUCUACAACAUGUUGUGACUUUGAAAGUCGAAAAAGAAGACUUUUAUAACUACAUAUUCCAUCAAGUCAAGUCAGAGCGGCACAAGUCUUUCAACAGCCUCAAGCUUAAGGUUCGAAUGAGAUUAAGAGGUCAGACUCAACAAGCCCAGAUCUGGCCGAGUCACUGGCAGCUCCAUUUACUCAACAAGCCAUAAGAAAAGCCGUAGUAGAGGAACCCCCAUUUUGUCAACCCUUCAGUAGGGACUGUAUGAAGUACACCAACUUAUCUGACUCGAUAAGUUCAAGUAGCCGUAGUCCAUUAAAUUUUCCUAAGUCACUGGAUAGUCAAAGUUAUAGUAGGAAGUAUGAGUCUCGAUCAAUAGCUACCGAAUGCAUGUAAGCUUUAAGAUCUCGAACCACAUAAGAUUACUUCAAAUUCGCAAACUUUAGCAAAAUCUAGCUUAGGGAGCGCAUUUCCCACAACUCAAGUUUGUCUAAAGCCUGAACGGGCGUAUGAGGUCGGCCUCAAUAAGCCCAGAUGUGAUUGAAUCACUGACAGCUCCAUCUACUUAAUACAUUAUAAAAAUGGCCACAGUAGAGGAACCAUUGUUUCAAUAGUCGGAUGACAAGAGUUGUUAAAUCCUUGCUUGCCCAAUCUGACAAGUUCAAGUAACCCAGAUUAAAAUCUUCUCGAUUGAUUAAUGAUCAAGAUAUUAUCUACAUUUGGUACUACUAAUCAAUCUCAAAACCUGUAAAUCAUUCAAAAAAUUCGUAAAGCACAAAGCGAGAUCGAAGGAAUCCUUCAACAAGUUCAUCAAAUCACAAAACAUAGAAUUGAAGAAAUUAUCCCAAAGUUCACAUAAAGCCUAAGGCUGAAUUAAGAGGACUUUUGUCAUUAACAAGUCUGUUACGCACAAAGUUCUUAACCGAUGAUCUCUCGACACUGAUCUGAUGACCUAAACACAAAGGUCAUCGACAUCUACUCCUUCAUCAAGCUUGCCAAAGCAAGGAACAUAGGGCAAAAGGUACACAAAUCCAGUAAUAAGUCAGUAAUGACAAAUCAGAUAAUCUUUUACCAAUAUCUGUCAUACAAAGUAUAUGACAAAAGAAGUUAAAAUCUCAAGAACUCAAGCUAAGUUAUUUAGAGUGUAAAACUGUUGACUCUAAUAGAUGUCUAAAGAAACAAGGCUAAUAAUUGUUCUAAAAAAUAGGGGGCAUUUUAAAUAUUUAUUUGGGUCAACAUUAUCUUGCAUGCCACAAUCCCUAAAUAAAUAUUUAAAAUCGCAUGCAGGCUAUUAACAUAACCACAAAAAAAAGAAAUAGUAAAGUAGAACUCGUCAACAACUGAAUUCAUAAAAUUACUUUUUAUUUGUUCAUAAUUUAUAUAUAAGUUUCUAAUUUACAUCUUUUUUACAAGCUUACAUUAACAAAAAGGGGAAAAAGUAAAUUGUCCUUCGCAAAAGAUUAAAAUCUGUCUUCUAAAUCUAUUCCUGAAUAGGAAGUUGACAACUCCGCUAUACUCCUACCAAAGACUGGACAUCCUGUGUUUAUGGGACCUGCACUAAGCAACAGAUAUGCCAAGAAAAAGGCGAAAGAUUAUACAAAUAUAUAUAAAACUAUAAAAAGAAAUGUGUGGUUGAAUGGAGGUCUCCUAAAAUUGCUGGCUGACUAAGUGUCCCGCUCCUUCUGAAACCUAUGUAGAAUAAUAAGGAUAUCAGUGAACAAUUAAAAAAAGAAAGGAACUGCAAAAACUAACAAAGAUGUACCUGAGCUGAAGCUUCAUGUAGCAGCUAACUGGUUAAUAUCCUAUUCCUGUGGGCACUUACAUAAAUUAGUGAGGUAUCAUCAAUAUAUAUAAAAUAGGCAGUGUAAACGUAAAGUAAAAGUUAUUGAAAAGAGUGUAUCUGAGUUGAGAUCUCUUGCAGUAGCUAGCUUGUUGACAUCCUGCUCACUUGGAACCUGCAUAAGAUAUGAAAUAUUAUUAGUAUAAGUAUAAAAUCAACUGAAAAAGAAAGAGAAGAGAGUGUACCUGGGCCAAGAACAACUACAAAAAAAUUAAGGCAGUGAAAUCCUGCAAGCUAGUGAAUAUGUAAAGUUCGGAUACUAGAUUCUAUAGUAAUGGUAUUAGAUUUACAGAUUCAAUAGCUUGUGGGAUUUCACUACCUCAUGUUUUUUACAGUUGUUUUUGGCUCAAGUGCACUCUUCCCUUUCUUUUUUAACUAAUUUUAUACUUGUACUAGUGAUCCUUCGUGUAUUGUGCAGCUUCAAGAUGAGCAUGAUAUUAGCUAACUAGUCAUUAUAGGAGAUUUCAGCUCAGUUCUCACAAAAACAGUAUAUCAGCUAGUUAGCUACCACGGGAGGAUGUAGCUCAGGUACACUUUUAUUAGUUUAUACAGUUCAUUUCUUUCUUUAGCUAUUCACUAAUACCCUUAUUAUUCUACACAGGUUUUAGGAGUGGGACACCUAUUCAACCAGCUAUUGCAGGAGACCUCUGUUUAGUUACACCUUUCUUUUUGUAGCUUUACAUAUAUUUGCAUAAUCUUUGUCCUUUCUACUGAUGUUUAUGUUACAUAAGCAUAGGAUGCCUAGCCUUUGGAAAGAGCAUAGCGGAGCUGUCGAUUUCCUCUUCAAGCAUAAAUUUAAGAGAUACAUUUUAGUCCCUUGUGAAGGACAAUGUACUUAUCAUCUUUUUUGGCUAAUGUAAACUUGUAAAAAAAUAUAAAUUGAAAACUUAUAUAUAAA